rnacentral:lncRNA from 10 species
GCCAGCUGCUUCAGCAUUGGCAGGGGCAAACUCCACUCACUGGAACCUGUGGGCGCUCAACCCUUCCCGGGAAGGGGCACGCAGGUGAGCGCUUUUGGGUGUCAGCUGGAACAAAACUCUGUGAGCCCCACGGAAGCAUCUAGCGGGGAGUACCAAUGACCUCCAAAGCCCUAGACAGCAAGUGUUACAGUGGGAGGCACCUGGUGGAAGGUAAUUGAAUCAUACGGGCGGCUUUUUCCUGUGCUGUUCUCGUGAUAGUGAGUAAGUAUCACGAGAUCUGACGGUUUUAUAAAGCGUAGUUUUCCCUGUACAAGCUCUCGCCUGCCGCCAUGUAAACGUUCUUUGCUCCUGCUUCGUCUUCUGCCGUGAUUGUGAGGCCUCCCCAGCCAUGUGGAACUACUCAUCACUCACUGCAGAUGUUACUUUAAGACAUUCUGGAGCAGCGUCAUGUGCAGGUGCGUAGUGCCUCCGCCCAUCUCUCUCUUGCUCCUGGUCUCAUCGUGACGGGCCUGGUCCUGCCUCACUUUAUGCCACGACUAAGAGCUCCCUGAGGCCUCUCCAGAAGCAGAUAUCACUAUGCUUCCUACACAGCCUGCAGAACCGAACAAUAAGGAAGUGAGUGCUUUUGUAAUUCCUGAACAACUGUGUCUUACACUUACUAAGGGAUUCAUGGGCAAUAUGACUGAAUAGGAACAGCUCCAGUCUGAAGCUCCCAGUGAGACCAACAUAGAAGGCAAUCUGGGUGUUAUGAAAGAUGUAG